GGGGUAUUAGCUCAUUUGGUAGAGCGCUUCGCUGGCAGCGAAGAGGUGAGCAGUUCAAAUCUGCUAUACUCCACCA
rnacentral:tRNA from 1 species